GCUUACUUCACCAGCACAUACUAAAAUUGAAAUGAUAUAUAAAGAUUAGCAUGGCCCCUGCACAAGGAUGAUAAAUUUGCAAAGUAUUC
rnacentral:snRNA from 1 species